GGGACACCUGAAACUCAUCACAGCAAAGGGCUAACUCCCCUAUGACCUUCAUUGAGGCCUCUCAGAAUUUGACAGAAAAUAAACAGAGGAUAGAAAUAGUUUACUGAAAUGCAAAUACAAAUGACUUUUUAACAUACAAGACAGCAACUAAUCUCACCAUUAUGUUUUAUUAUAAUGCACCAAUAAAAUGUGGAAAAAAGCAUACAGGACAGAUGUUCAGUCUCAUUUACUUUAAGGUGAAUGCAAAUAGAAGCUACUGAAACAUUCUGUAUUUAUUAAGAUGACAAACAUCCAAACACUUGAUAACACACUGUGUUGGUAAGGCUUUGGGGGAAAAUGACACUUUUGAAUAUUGUUGGCAGAGUGUAAAUUAAUGCAACUCUAUAUGGAAGGCACUUUUUUGCAAUAGCUAUCAAAAAUCACAAAUAUCCUGUGAACAAACAGAUAUCAGUGUGCAAAGUAAUUCAUUGUAGCACUGUGUCUAGUUAAGAGUUUGAAUACUAGAAUCUAAUAGCCUGGUUUUCAAUCCCAAUUCUAAUGCUAGCAUUGUGUCCUUGGGUAAAUUAUAAAAUCAUCUGUGCCUCAAUUCCUUUAUCAGCAAAAUGGAGGCAAAAAUAUCAUCCACCUCUUUGAGUUGGAGGGAGAAUUAAAUGAGUUAAUCUUUGUAAGCAGUAUUUACAAAAGUACCUGGCCCUUCGAUGCCUGUUUUAGCUAUUGUUUUUAACAUCAAAAGACUGUAAUGUAAAUAUUUACCAACAGGGAACUGAUUAAAUAAUAUGGCAGAUUUAUACAAUAUAGACGUAAAAGAUGAAUAAAUGUAGUUUUAUGAAAGUACCUCUAAGAUAUAUUUAGUGGGGGAAAAAGCGAGGAAUAUGGACAAUAUGUAAAGUAUUAUAGUAUUUGUUUGGGAGUUUUGUUUGUUUGUUUCAUUUUAUUUUAUUUGGUACUAGGGUGUGAACCCAGGGGCACUUUAUCACUGAGCUACAUCCCCAGAACUUUUUUUUAUUUUUUGAGUCAGGGUCUCACUAAAUUGCUCAGGCUGGCCUCAAACUUGUGAUUCUCCUAUCUCAGUCUCAGGGGUUUCUGGGAGUAUAGGCAUGUGCCAUGAGCCAUACAUAUUCUAUUUGUAUGAAAAAAAGAGAAAGAGAGAGACUAGCAGAAUAUGUUGUUUUAUAUAUGUAUUACAGAAAACUCUGGAAGGAUACUGGAAAGGCCUGAUAGGACAAAAGACAGAAAGGGGAAUUUUUCACUAUAUACGUUUUUAUAUGAAAGGCAUGUGCAUAUAUUACCUGUUUAAAAACUAUAUAUACCCCCACUCCCACACACACACACACACACAGAGGGGAUUUAACCCAGGAGCACUUUACCACUGAGCUACAUUCCCAGCUCCUCCCCUUUUUAAUUUUUAUUAUUAUUUUUAAAUUAUGAGACUGGGCUGGCCUCAAACUUGGGGUCCUCCUGUCUCAACCUCCAGAGUUUCUAGGAUUAUAGAGGCCUGUGUCACCAUUUUCAGCUAAAAAGAAUAAUUUUAAAACAGUUCAGAUGCACUAAAGAUCUGUAUAUCAGAGAAUCUACGAAGUCUGAAAACAUCAAAUGUCAAGGAUUUAUGGAAAUAUGGGCUAGUAUAUAUUGUAGUGGAAGUGUAAACUGAUAUUAUUAAGAAAGCAAGGCAGUUAGUGUUUUGGACUAAAUAUCAGUCCUCCGCAAAUUCAUUUAGUUUACUGAACUGCAAAUACAAAUGACUUUUGGUGGGCCUUUUAGAGAUAAUUAGGCUUAGAUUAGGUCAGGAAAGUAAACCUCACUUCUUGCCAAAUGCAGAGACAUAAGAAGAAGAAUAAAGGGCCAUGGGAAGACACAGUGAGAAAACAGCUAUCUGCAAGCCAAGAAAAGUGUUCUAACCAAAAUUUGACCUUGGAAGCAACCUAACCUUGGAAUUCCAGCCCCCAGAACUAUAAGAAAAUAAAUGUGUAUUGUUUAAGUCACCUAGUAUAUGGCAUUUUGUUGUAGUAUCCAAGCUGAGUCUGGGGCCUUAGUCAUAAGCAGUAGAAAAUAACUCUGGUUGGUUGUUUUUAAACAGAAAAGGAGCUUAGUGAAAAAAAUAUUAAGAUGAUUACAGAAUCUCCAGAAGGACUGGGUAACAACCUUGGGAACAUAGGAGAAAAUGGACUCUGUGUUGACAAACCAGAGCAAGCUUUAAUGCCACUAAACUAGUCUGGGGAGCCAUCUCCACCACAGGAAAACACAACUUUUUUUCUCUCUUUUUUUAAUUGAUUUUUUAAAAAAAUAAAUGACAGUGGAAUGCAUUACAAUUCUUAUUACACAUAUAUAGCACAAUUUUUCAUACCUCUGGUUGUGUAUAAAGUAUGUUGAUUCCAAUUCAUGUCUUCAUACGUGUACUUUGGAUAAUGAUGUUUAUCACAUUCCACCAUCCUUACUAACCCCCUACACCCUCCUUUUCCCUUCCACCCCUCUGCCCUAUCUAGAGUUCAUUUAUUCCUCCCAUGCUCCCCCUCCCUACCCCACUAUGAACCAGCCUCCUUAUAUCAUAGAAUACAUUCAGCAUUUGGUUUUUGGGGAUUGGCUAAUUUCACUUAGCAUUAUUUUCUCCAAUGCCAUCCUUUACCUGCAAAUACCAUGAUUUUAUUCUCUUUUAUUGCUGAGUAAAAUUACAUUGUGUAUAUAUGCCACAUUUUUUUUUAAUCCAUUCAUCUACUGAAGGGCAUCUAGGUUGGCUCCAAAGUUUAACUAUUGUGAAUUGUGCUGCUAUAAACAUUAAGGUAGCUGUGUCCCUGUAGUAUGCUGUUUUUAAGUCCUUUGGAUAUAGUCUGAGUAGAGUCAUAGCUGGGUCAAAUGGUGGUUCCAUUCCCAGAUUUCCAAGGAAUCUCCAUACUGCUUUCCAUAUUGGCUCCAAUUUGCAGCCCACCAGCAGUAUAUGAGUGUACCUUCCCCACCCCGCCAUCCUCUCCAACACUUACUGUUGUUUGUCUUCAUAAUAGCUGCCAUUCUGACUGGAGUGAGAUGAUAUCUUAGAGUAGUUUUGAUUUGCAUUUCUCUAAUUGCUAGAGAUGAUGAACAUUUUUUAAUAUAUUUGUUGAUUGAUUGUAUAUCCUCUUCUGAGAAGUGUCUGUUCAGGUCCCUGGCCAUUUAUUGAUUGGGUUAUUUGCUGGGUUUUUUGUUGUUGUUGUUGUUGUUUUGUUUGUGCUUAGCAUUUUGAGUUCUUUAUAUACCCUGGGGUUUGUGUUCUAUCUGAUGUGUGAGGGGUAAAAAUUUGCUCCCAGGAUGUAGGCUCUCUGUUCACCUCACAGAUUAUUUCUUUUGCUGAGAAGAAACUUUUUAGUUUGAAUCCAUCUCAUUUAUUGAUUCUUCGUUUUAAUUCUUGCGCUAUAGGAGUCUUAUUAAGGAAAUUGGGGCUUAAUCCCACAUGAUGACGAUUAGGGACUACUUUUCCUCUAUUAGACACAGAGUCUCUGGUUUAAUUCCUAGGCCCUUGACCCACUUUGAGUUGAGUUUUGUGCAUGGUGAGAGAUAGGGAAUUUAAUUUCAUUUUGUUGCAUAUGGAUUUCCAGUUUUCCCGUCAUCAUUUGUUGAAGAUGCUAUCUUUUCUCCAAUGCAUGUUUUUGGCACCUUUGCCUAAUAUAAGAUGAUUGUAAUUUUGUGGGUUAGUCUCCAUGUCCUCUAUUCUGUACCAUUGGUCUACCAGUCUGUUUUGGUGCCAAUACCAUGCUGUUUUUGUUACUAUUGUUCUGUAGUAUAAAGAUCUGGUAUAGCAAUGCAACCUGCUUCACUCUUCUUGCUAAAGAUUGCUUUAGCUAUUCUGGGUCUCUUAUUUUUCCAGAUGAAUUUCAUGAUUGCUUUUUCUAUUUUUAUGAGGAAUGACUUUGGGAAUUUGAUCAGAAUUGCAUUAAAUCUGUACAGUGCUUUUGGUAGUAUAGUCAUUUUGAUAAUAUUAAUUAUGCCUAUCCAAGAGCAAGGUAGAUCUUUCCGUCUUCUAAGGUCUUCUUUAAUUUCUUUCUUUAGGGUUCUGUAGUUUUCAUUGUAUAGAUCUUCCACCUCUUUUGUUAAGUUGAUUCCCAAGGUUUUUUUUUUUGAGGUUACUGUAAAUGGGGUAGUUUUCCUCAUUUCCUUCUCAGAGGAUUUGUCACUGAUAUACAGAAAUGCCUUUGAUUUAUGGGUUUUGAUUUUAUAUCCUGCUACUUUGUUGAAUUUAUUUACUAGUUCUAGAAGUUUUCUGGUGGAGCUUUUUGGGUCUUCCAGGUAUAGAAUCAUAUAAUCAGUGAAUAGUGCUAAUUUAAGUUCUUCUUUUCCUAUACAUAUCCCUUUAAUAUAAUUGCUCUGGCCAGUGUUUCAAGAACUAUGUUGAAUAGAAGUGGUGAAAGAGGGCAUCCCUGUCUUGUUCCAGUUUUUAGAGGGAAUGCCUUUAAUUUUUCUCCAUUUAGAAUGGUAUUUGCCUGAGGCUUAGCAUAGAUAGCCUUUAUGAUGUUGAGACAUGUUCCUGUUAUCCCUAGUUUUUCUAGUGUUUUCAACAUGUAAAGGUGCUGUAUUUUGUCAAAUGCUUUUUCUGCAUCCAUUGAGAUAAUCAUAGGAUUCUUUUUUUUUUUAAGAGAGAGAGAGAGAUUUUUUUUUUAAUAUUUAUUUGUUAUUUUUCAGCGGACACAACAUCUUUGUUUGUAUGUGGUGCUGAGGAUCCAACCCAGGCCGCAUGCAUGCCAGGCGAAUGUGCUACCACUUGAGCCACAUCCCAGCCCCGAUCAUAGGAUUCUGAAAGUCUAUUGAUGUGAUGAAUUACAUUUAUUGAUUUCUGUAUGUUGAACCAACCUUGCAUUCCUGGGAUGAAUCCCACUUGAUCAUGGUGCACAAUCUUUUCGAUAUGUUUUUGUAUUCGAUUUACCAGAAUUUUAUUGAGAAUUUCUACAUCUAUGUUCAUAAGAAAUAUUGGUCUAAAAUUUUCUUUCUUUGAUGUGUCUUUGCCUGGUUUGGGAUCAGGGUGAUAUUGGCCUCAGAAUGAAUUUGGAAGUGCUCCCUCUUUUUCUAUUCCUGAAAUAAAUUGAAGAGUAUUAGUAUUAGUUCUUCUUUAAAGGUCUUUCCUGUAGAACUCGGUUGUGUAUCCAUCCGGUCCUGGGCUUUUCUUGGUUGGUAACCUUCUGAUGGUGUCUUCUAUUUCCUCACUUGAUAUUGGUCUGUUUAAAUUUUGUAUAUCUUCCUGAUUCAAUAUGGGCAAAUCAUAUGACUUAAGAAAUCUUUCGAUGUCUUCAAUGUCUUCUAUUUUAUUGGAGUAUAAAUUUUCAAAAUAAUUUCUAUUUUUCCUCUGUAUUUCUAUAGUGUCUGUUGUCUGUUGUACCUUUUACAUCAUGUAUUCUGAUAAUUUGAGUUUUCUCUCUCCUUCUCUUUAUUAGCAUAGCUAAGGGUCUAUCAAUUUUAUUUAUUUUUUCAAAGAACCAACUUUUUGUUUUGUCAAUUUUUUCAAUUGUUUCGAUUUCAUUGAUUUCAGCUCUAAUUUUAAUUAUUUCUUGCCUUCUUCUGCUUUUGCUGCUGAUUUGUUCUUCUUUUUCUAGGGCUUUGAGAUGUAAUGUGAGGUCAUUUAUUUGUUGACUUUUUCUUCUUUUAAGGAAUGAAAUCCAUGAAAUGAACUUUCCUCUUAGUACUGCUUUAUAGUGUCCCAGAGAUUUUGAUAUGUUGUGUCUAUGUUCUCAUUUACCUCUAAGAAUCUUUUAAUCUCCUCCUUGAUGUCUUCUGCAACCCAUUGUUCAUUCAGUAGCAUAUUUUUUGGUCUCCAGGUGUUGGAGAAAUUUUUAUUUUUUAUUUUGUCAUUGAUAUCUAGUUUAAUUCCAUUAUGGCCUGAUAAAAUGCAUGGUAGUAUCUCUACUUUUUUGUAUUUGCUAAGAGUUGCUUUAUGGCAUAUUACAUGGUCUAUUUUAAGAAGGAUCCAUGGCAAACCCAACUUCUUUAUGGCACUAGCUUCAACUUCAGAAUCAUGGUUGGGGAAUGGGAGUGGAGGGCUGUCUACCUGAGUAGGAUUCAGCCACAACCAUGUUCUUUGGCUUCCAAAAUGUUUGGCAAAGAAAAUAGCACACAUUUGUAUCUUCUGUAAUGAGAGAUGAGUUCUGCCAUCCACUGCCUUAUAAAUAGGAAUUUCUUCAAACAGAGUAAGAAGACUCAGAUACAGGGCAGCUGAAAAAUAAUAAAUGUCCCUGUAAGAGGACAAUCUGUUUCAUGAUGAGCAAUUUUACUUCUAAGUAUAAACCCAAGAAAUUUUUAUAUAUGUAUUCAAAAAAUUAUUACUUAUAUUCAUUGUCUCUAAAAAGAUAAAACUAGAAAUAACUCCAUUUUGUUCAUUAGCAGGAAAAUGGAUAAAUGGUUUAGUCAUGCAAUAGAAUACGGGAUAGUAAUUAAAUCAAUGAAAAAGAACUAUGGGUAUCCAUAGGAAAAAAUCUUUACAAAGAUUGAAAACAAAGUUGCAGAAUACAGUAUGCUACUAAUUAUAUAAAAUGUAACCAUAUGCAAAAUUCCAGUGUAUAUUGAGAUAGACUUAUGUGUCAUGAAAGUAUGAAAACAUGCAUGGAAUAUGUAGAUGACUUUGAGGGAAUGAAAGAGAUUAAGGUAGUUUGGAACUUUAGCUAUCAUAUUUCUUAAAAAAAAAAAAAAAAGCCAAAUUUAGAAAACAUUAGUAGUUGCACCGUGAACAAAGUCAUUGUUUUAGACCUAACUAAAGACAGCUAUUAAUGCAAACUCCCUCUUCCCCCAGUAAGUGCCUGUAACUCUUAAGUUCCCUCCUGUUACUUAAGAGUGAAUGUGUUUUUCUAGAUUUAAGGCCAAAUUCUCUUAACUGUGCACUAAAUCCAGCCCCUCUCACCUACUCAAGUUGUCCUCUUUUCAACAUCAUCAGAUUUUCCUUCUCUACCAAAUUUUCCCCAAAUACAAACAUAGUAUAAAAGUCACAUCUUUAGCUGGGCGUGGUGGCACACACCUGUAAUCCCAACAGCUUGGGAGGCUAAGGCAAUGAAUUCAAAUCCAGCCUCAGCAAAAGCAAGGUGCUAAGCACUAAGUGAGACCCUGUCUCUAAAUAAAAUACAAAAUAGGUCAGGGGAUGUGGCUCAGUGUUUAUUCAAACCACAAAGGAGGAGGGUACAAGGAAUUUCUUAUUUCCUACUUCUUACCAUUUCCUAUUUUCCCCUUUUUUAAAAAAAUAUUUUUUUUAGUUAUAGAUGGACACAAUACUUUUAUUUUUUAAAAUAUGGUGCUGAGGAUUGAACCCAGUGCCUCAUAUGCCAGAUGACUGCACUACCACUGAGCCACAACCCCAGCCCCCCUAUUUCCCCUUUUUACCAUUAGCUCAUUCCUUUGCUUUUUACCACAAAAAUCCUUAGAACUAUCUAAACUUCUCUUCUCCAGUUUCUCUCUUUCCAUUUAUUCUUGAAACUCAUUCCACUCAGGUUUUCACUCCAUUUCUCCAGAACUACUCAAGGGCAACCAAUGAAUUUCAUAUUGUUAAAUCAGUUGUCACUUUCUAGUCCUCUGCUUUUGAUACAUUUGACAUAGGUGAUCACUUCCUUCACCUUGUAACACUUUGGUCUCUUGUUGUGAUAAGAGUCUGGAUUAUUGUUCAUUUUGGAUUAUUCAUUCUAUUUACCCCCCCUCUGUGGGCUGAAUAUAUUUCCUACUCCACUGAUAUUGGACGUGGCUAGGUGACUUACUCUAGUCAAUGGAAGAUAAGCCAACAUGAUGUGAACAGAGGCCUUCAAUAUACUCUGGGAUGUCCAUAUAUGAAUACAUGACCAGUGUAAUUCCACAUUAUGUACAAACACAAGAAUGGGAAGUUAUACUCUGUGUAUUACUCUAUUUAUGUAUAAUAUGUCAAAAUACACUCUACCAUCAUGUAUAACUAAAACAAAUACAAAUAAAAAUUUUAAAAUAUA
rnacentral:lncRNA from 1 species